rnacentral:tRNA from 1 species
GCGCCUAUGGCCUAAUGGAUAAGGCCCUUGACUUAUAAUCGAGCGAUCGUGGGUUCAUGUCCCACUGGGUGUG